ACUGGUCUUCGGUCAAGGGUAUACAAGUAGUUGUGCUCCCCUGUUAGAACCUCUAAACAAGCUCUCAAGGUCCAUUGUAGGAACGUAGGGUAGUCAAGCUUAUGGACUACCUGAAGAACUGUGGAACUGGACAUGGGCCGGGUAAAUCCAUUAGUU
rnacentral:snRNA from 1 species